rnacentral:rRNA from 1 species
GUAGGGAAUAUUGGUCAAUGGAGGCAACUCUGAACCAGCCAUCCCGCGUGAAGGAUGACGGUCCUCUGGAUUGUAAACUUCUUUUCUCAGGGAAGAAACGUUCCGAUUCAUCGGAACCUGACGGUACCUGAGGAAUAAGCACCGGCUAACUCCGUGCCAGCAGCCGCGGUAAUACGGAGGGUGCAAGCGUUAUCCGGAUUUACUGGGUUUAAAGGGUGCGCAGGCGGAAUGGUAAGUCAGUGGUGAAAUCCUACAGCUUAACUGUAGAACUGCCGUUGAUACUGUCAUUCUUGAGUACAUUUGAAGUGGGCGGAAUGUAUCAUGUAGCGGUGAAAUGCAUAGAUAUGAUACAGAACACCGAUAGCGAAAGCAGCUCACUAAACUGUAACUGACGCUCAUGCACGAAAGCGUGGGGAGCAAACAGGAUUAGAAACCCGAGUAGUCC